rnacentral:tRNA from 1 species
GCCUGCCACGGGGCCCUCCUGGACGCACCGCUCUACUACCAGGUGGAGGGCGCCGCGC